UACGAAGGGGGCUAGCGUUGCUCGGAAUUACUGGGCGUAAAGCGCACGUAGGCGGAUUGUUAAGUCGGGGGGUGAAAUCCUGGAGCUCAACUCCAGAACUGCCUUCGAUACUGGCGAUCUCGAGUUCGGGAGAGGUGAGUGGAACUGCGAGUGUAGAGGUGAAAUUCGUAGAUAUUCGCAAGAACACCAGUGGCGAAGGCGGCUCACUGGCCCGAUACUG
rnacentral:rRNA from 1 species